rnacentral:rRNA from 1 species
CUGGUUGAUCCUGCCAGUAGUCAUAUGCUUGUCCCAAAGAUUAAGCCAUGCAUGUGUAAGUAUAAGCCCUUGUACGGUGAAACUGCGAAUGGCUCAUUAAAUCAGCUAUAAUUUGCUUGAUGGUAGUGCUACUCGGAUAACCGUGGUAAUUCUAGAGCUAAUACGUGCAGCUCUUUGAGCAGCAUUUGUUAGAUGCGCCAGCGCCCUCGGGCUAGUGGUGAGUCAUGAUAACUUUGCGGAUCGCAUGGCCGUGUGUCGGCGACGCAUCAAAGAAAUUUCUGCCCUAUCAACUUUGGAUGGUAGGAUAGGGGCCUACCAUGGUUUUUACGGGUAACGGGGAAUUGGGGUUCGGUUCCGGAGAGGGAGCCUGAGAAACGGCUACCACUUCCAAGGAAGGCAGCAGGCGCGCAAAUUACCCAAUCCCGACGCGGGGAGGUAGUGACAGUAAAUAACAAUGCAGGGCCCUCCGGGCUUUGCAAUUGGAAUGAGAGAAAGGUAAAGAGCUCGUCGAGUAGCGAUUGGAGGGCAAGUCUGGUGCCAGCAGCCGCGGUAAUUCCAGCUCCAAUAGCGUAUAUUAAAGUUGUUGCAGUUAAAACGCUCGUAGUUGGCGGCGCGGCCGCACGCUGGCAACUCUGCACGCAGAGUUGGGGGGUGUGGUUGUUGGGAUCGACCUUGGUAAAAGAAGGAAGAUCGCGUUACUGUGAAGAAAGCAGAGUGCUCAAAGCAGGCAAUGGCUUGGAUGCGACAGCAUGGAAUAACAAGGCGGGUGGACCUGCGCGUUGGUGGCAGGUCAGACAAGGAUUGAUAGGAACAGUUGGGGGCAUUGGUAUUCGGCAGUCAGAGGUGAAAUUCUUGGAUUUGGCGAGGACCAGCGGGAGCGAAAGCGUUUGCCAAGGAUGUUUUCAUUAAUCAAGAACGAAAGUUAGGGGAUCGAAGACGAUCAGAUACCGUCGUAGUCUUAACCGUAAACGAUGCCGACUGGGGAUUGGCGGAUGUCGAUUGACGCUGCCAGGACCGUUGGAGAAAUCAAAGUGAGUGGGUUCUGGGGGGAGUAUGGUCGCAAGGCUGAAACUUGAAGGAAUUGACGGAAGGGCACCACCAGGAGUGGAGCCUGCGGCUUAAUUUGACUCAACACGGGAAAACUCACCAGGUCCGGACAUGGGAAGGAUUGACAGAUUGAGAGCGCUUUCAUGAUUCUGUGGGUGGUGGUGCAUGGCCGUUCUUAGUUGGUGGAGUGAUUUGUCUGGUUAAUUCCGAUAACGAACGAGACCUUGGCGCGGGAGUGGGAGCGUGUUGUUUGCAACAUGGCAGGCUUCACGCGGACUGGCUGCACGAGCAGUCGGAGGUUCGAGGCAAUAACAGGUCUGUGAUGCCCUUAGAUGUUCUGGGCUGCAUGCGCGCUACACUGGCAGAGGCAGCGAGUGUCCUUGGCCGGGAGGUCUGGGGAAUCUUUGAAACUCUGCCGUGCUGGGGAUAGAUCAUUGCAAUUAUUGGUCUUGAACGUGGAAUUCCUAGUAAGCACAAGUCAUCAGCUUGUGCUGAUUACGUCCCCUGCCCUUUGUACACACCGCCCGUCGCAUCAAUCGAUUGGAUGAUUCGGUGAAUGAUUCGGAUCGAGUCGUUGCUAGCAAUAGCUUCGAUUUGAGAAGUCUUGUAAACCCAAUCAUCUAGAGAAUGGUCAAGUCGUAACACGGUUUCUGUAGGUGACCUGCGAAGGGCGAUUCCAGCACAUGUCGCCGUACAACGGAGCCGACUCGUACCAGCUGCUCUCGCUCCCCGCCU